rnacentral:rRNA from 1 species
CCCAAAAAGACUCUCGGCAACGGAUAUCUCGGCUCUUGCAUCGAUGAAGAACGUAGCAAAAUGCGAUACUUGGUGUGAAUUGCAGAAUCCCGUGAACCAUCGAGUCUUUGAACGCAAGUUGCGCCCGAAGCCAUUAGGUUGAGGGCACGCCUGCCUGGGUGUCACA